rnacentral:rRNA from 1 species
AACGAACGCUGGCGGCAGGCUUAACACAUGCAAGUCGAGCGCCCCGCAAGGGGAGCGGCAGACGGGUGAGUAACGCGUGGGAAUCUACCCAUCUCUACGGAAUAACGCAUGGAAACGUGUGCUAAUACCGUAUACGUCCUUCGGGAGAAAGAUUUAUCGGAGAUGGAUGAGCCCGCGUUGGAUUAGCUAGUUGGUGGGGUAAAGGCCUACCAAGGCGACGAUCCAUAGCUGGUCUGAGAGGAUGAUCAGCCACACUGGGACCGAGACACGGCCCAGACUCCUACGGGAGGCAGCAGUGGGGAAUAUUGGACAAUGGGCGCAAGCCUGAUCCAACCAUGCCGCGUGAGUGAUGAAGGCCCUAGGGUUGUAAAGCUCUUUCACCGGUGAAGAUAAUGACGGUAACCGGAGAAGAAGCCCCGGCUAACUUCGUGCCAGCCGCCGCAGUAACAC